GGCAUGAAUCUCUGCCACUUUUGAAUUUAGUGCUUUGUUUCAUCAAAAAUACAGUUUGGGGGAUUGUUGUUUUAGAGUGAGAGAAAAUGGAGAAUCGUCGUGACGAUGGUGUUGCUUCUGAGCAAACCAAAGAAGAUCAAACUCACGAUCUUCACUCUAUUCUCUCUUCUUCCGAGAGGGACUUCCUUAUUCGCAACAAUGGCGAUCAGGUCAAAUUUGACAGUUUGAAAGGGAAAAAGGUGGGUUUAUAUUUUUCAGCAUCAUGGUGUGGCCCGUGCCAGCAGUUCACGCCUAAUCUAGUGGAGGUUUACAAGGAAGUGUCCUCAAAAGGCGAUUUUGAGAUUGUAUUUGUCUCGGCGGAUGAAGAUGAGGAGGCAUUUAAGGGGUAUUUCUCCAAGAUGCCGUGGCUUGCCAUCCCGUUUUCUGAUUCAAAGACGCGUGACCACUUGGAUGAAUUAUUUAAGGUGAUGGGGAUACCUUACCUUGUGAUCAUCGAUGAAAGUGGGAAGGUAUCGACUGAUGAGGGAGUUGAGAUCAUUCGCGAAUAUGGAGUUGAUGCGUAUCCUUUUUCCUCCGAGAGGGUCAAAGAACUUAAGGACCAGGAAGAAGCAGCUCGGAGGGAGCAAUCCUUAAAGUCCAUCUUAGUCUCCCGAGAACGUGAUUUUGUGAUCUCAGCUGAUGGGAAAGAGGUAUCUGUCUCUGAGCUUGAAGGAAAGACCGUAGGCUUGUAUUUCUCAGUGUCUUCAUACAAGAAAUGCCUUACAUUUACUCCGAAACUCAUUGAAGUUUACGAGGAGUUAAAGUUGAAGGGAGAGAAAUUUGAGGUUGUGAUGUUACCCCUUGAUGAUGAUGAAGAAUCCUUCAAGCAAGCGUUUGAAAAGAUGCCUUGGUUUUCACUACCCUUGAAAGACAAGAGCUGUGUGAAGCUGGCUCGGUACUUUGAGCUUUCAAGUUUACCCUCAUUGGUUAUUAUUGGCCCAGAUGGGAAGACUCUUCGUGCUGAUGUUGUUGAGACCGUUGAAGAACAUGGUACUCUGGCAUACCCUUUUACACCAGAAAAGUUUGCUGAGCUCGAGGAGAUAGAGAAGGCGAAACGGGAGGCGCAAACAUUGGAGUCGAUUUUGGUGUCAAAAGAUCUCGAUUUUGUAAUUGGAAAAGAUGGACUCAAAGUACCGGUUUCUGAUCUUGUUGGGAAAACUAUCCUCAUUUACUUUUCAGCUCAUUGGUGUCCACCAUGCCGUGCUUUUCUACCAAAGCUUGUUGAAGCGUAUCAGCAGAUUAAGGCAAAAGAUGAUGCAUUCGAAGUAAUUUUCAUCUCCAGCGACAAAGAUCAGGCCUCAUUCGAAGAUUUCUUUUCCACAAUGCCAUGGCUAGCACUUCCCUUCGGAGAUGAGAGGAAAGAAUCUUUGUCACGCACGUUUAAGGUCCGUGGCAUCCCUAUGCUCGUUGCGCUCGAUCCAAAAGGCCGGACUGUCACAACUGAAGCCCAAGAACUUGUUAUGUACCAUGGGGCCGAUGCUUAUCCCUUCACACAACUUCCAAUUCUAAUUUUCUCCUACAAAUUAAUUUUUACAAUUUUUUAUUACAUAUUUUUUCAUAAAAAGUUAAAAAGUUAACCCAAAAAGACAAACAACCGACGCGAGCGGUAUUUUUGUGAUGGGUGUGAAGAACAAGGGCAGGUAUGGUCUUUCUAUUGUAGGAAGUGUGAUUUUGAUCUGCAUCCAAAGUGUGCAUUGGAGGAAGCAAAGGGAACCAAAGGCGAUACCGAAGAGGUUGGGGAGGGAAAGAAAGGCGAAGAAGGAUGGGUUUGUGAUGGAGAGGUGUGUACCAAAGCUUGACAAGUUUUUGGUUUGUGUUUUCAAAACCAUGACAGUUUGAUUUUGAUUUUGCUUUUGCUUUCAUCAGUAUGGCUACAAUUUAUGUUUAAAGAUGGCAUGUAAUUAAGUUGCUUGGGAUGUUAUUGUGGACCUAUAUUGAUGCAUAUUAUUUGGUAAUAUAUUUUCUAUUUUGGAAAAAUAUUUUGUAUUAAUCCGGGCCAUCAUGUGUGAUAAUUAAGAAUGCAUUUGUGUUGUAUUAA